GUGCCGACUCGGAGGGAACCGAUAGCACUGAGAGGGCCAGGCACUGGGGGAGAGAGAGAGAGACACAGAAACAGAGAGGCAGGGAGAGAGCGAGAAAAAGUGGAAAACUUGCACUUGUUCAGAGUCUGACAUGCGAAGAGCUGGGCUUCUUCCAGACCUUGUUAAAGUAUCCCUCUGGAGUAGAGGAGAGAGAGAGAGAGAGAGAGAGAGAGAGAGAGAGAGAGAGAGAGAGAGAGAGAGAGAGAGAGAGAGAGAGAGAGAGAGAGAGAGAGAUGAAACAAUGAGCUGCUGCUUUGAUUAAUAGACUGUGGAGUGAUCUGCUCUCAUCAAUUUGGUUUAAUCUUUUCAUAGCUGUUAUGCCUUUAACGUCAUAAAACCAUAGACUGUAUAUAUAAAUGGACGGAGGGUCCAUGACGUCACCCAUUGGUUUCCGCAGAGUGAGAAUGAGGCUACUAGGAGGCGUUCCCCCGGCGCCAUCUUGCCAGUGCUGACUCCUCCUAGUUCCUGGCUCACCAAUCAAUGGGCAAGGACGAGGAGCGCGAGUGAAGACUGACAGCUGUGCGACGGCAGCAGAGCUCUAGAUGCCUGGUUAGCUUAGGCUACGGCUAACCGGCUACAUGCUAACCAUCGGUGCUAACGGCUAGCGCUGCCCAGCCGGAUCGUCGCAAUCUUUACCUUGAACUAGAGAUGAAGCACUGCAGCUCCUGAUGUCCUCAGCAGCAACAUGGUGGAGAUCGGCAGCUUCAGCUGGUUAACAUGAGGACGACCUGCACCAGCUUCAUGUUUUCCUCCCUUAACUAAAGAUGGCCUGCAACUGUUUAGAACUGGCUCAUUGUGUCAUGGAUAAUAGAGUUAAUUUCUAUAUUCAUUAUGGUUGGUUAAAAAAAUUGACACUUAUUAGAACAAUGUUUAUCUUUUGCUUUUGAUUUGAUACACUUUAGAUAAGAACCCAGUGUUUUAUUUUUCUUCUUUGCCAUAAGAGACAGAACAUGGUCAUCACAGCUGUGUCCUUCAGGCUCGUCAGUCCCUAAUAAAAUGAUAGGAAACUUAAAAGUAUGGCAUUAUUGUAGAGGAAGUGUUACUUAUGAACAAAGUUUGUAUCCUUAUUUUCUGUGGAUAUUCCACUAUGUAUUUGAAUAUGCUUUUGGAUUAAACUGUGCACUACCAAGACAA